rnacentral:rRNA from 1 species
GACGAACGCUGGCGGCGUGCCUAAUACAUGCAAGUCGAGCGGACAGGAGGGAGCUUGCUCCCGGAAGUUAGCGGCGGGCGGGUGAGUAACACGUGGGCAACCUACCCUGUAGAUCGGGAUAACAUCGAGAAAUCGGUGCUAAUACCGGAUAAUCAUUUGAAGUGCAUGCUUCGAAUGUAAAAGAUGGCUCCGGCUAUCACUACGGGAUGGGCCCGCGGCGCAUUAGCUAGUUGGUAAGGUAAUGGCUUACCAAGGCAACGAUGCGUAGCCGACCUGAGAGGGUGAUCGGCCACACUGGGACUGAGACACGGCCCAGACUCCUACGGGAGGCAGCAGUAGGGAAUCUUCCGCAGUGGACGAAAGUCUGACGGAGCAACGCCGCGUGAGUGAUGAAGGUUUUCGGAUCGUAAAGCUCUGUUGUUAGGGAAGAACAAGUGCCGUUUGAAUAAGGCGGCACCUUGACGGUACCUAACCAGAAAGCCACGGCUAACUACGUGCCAGCCGCCGCCGUAAUAC